UACGGGGGGGGCAAGCGUUGUUCGGAUUUACUGGGCGUAAAGGGCGCGUAGGCGGUCAGCACAAGUCAGUUGUGAAAUCUCCGGGCUUAACUCGGAAAGGUCAACUGAUACUGUGCGACUAGAGUGCGGAAGGGGCAACUGGAAUUCUCGGUGUAGCGGUGAAAUGCGUAGAUAUCGAGAGGAACACCUGCGGCGAAGGCGGGUUGCUGGGCCGACACGUGACGCUGAUGCGCGAAAGCCAGGGGAGCGAACGGG
rnacentral:rRNA from 1 species